ACCACAGUCUAGGUGUUGGUUACUUGCUUCUGUCUCCAUCAUCCAGACAAGCACCAUGAAGAAGCUGCUGUGCUCUCUGCUGGGGCUUCUGUGCACCCAGGUUUGCUGGGUGAAAGGGCAGCAAGUGAAGCAGAGUCCUGAGUCCUUGGUGCUGCAGGAGGGAGAGAGCACAGAGCUGCAGUGCAACUUUUCCAGCACUGCAAAACAAAUGCAGUGGUUUUACCAAAGUCCUGGGGGACACCUCAUCAGUCUAUUUUACAAUCCUUCUGGAACAAAGCAGAGUGGAAGACUGAAGUCCACGACAAUCACUCAAGAACGCCGCAGCUCUUUGUACAUUUCCUCCUCUCAGACCACAGACUCAGGCACUUAUUUCUGUGCUGUGGAUCCACAGUUCUCCCCACACACCUGCAGCCAGUACACAAACCUUCAGUUGGGUGGGUGUGGCCAUCCCCUCUCAUAA